rnacentral:lncRNA from 1 species
UUUCGUACACACAAGCUUUUCCGAUAUAAAUAAAGUAGUAGGGUGUUGUCCAACCAAAGCACUGUAGUCAAAAGGGUUAGGGUUUGCUGGUCAAACACUCUCGGUUGACGGAGGGAGAAGUGGCUGAGUAAGGGAGGACUUGAUGUGGCUUGAUGUCCUGACGUUUCCGUGCUCCGCUGUGGAGGGGAUCGCGACCUUCUCCUUGGCGGCAAACUUCUUCUCUUCGCUUUUGCCCCAGAGCACGAAGUAGAGUCCUGAUAUGAUCAACACUGCUCCAAUGAUCCUGUACAUGCCACCCAGAAAAAGGCCUUCCAUGAGCUUCAAAUCAAAAAACAAUAUUUUGUACUAAUACCCCCACAGUUCAGUUAUUUCUACUAAACCCUUCACAUACGAUUGUGAUUAAAUUUAAUCUUGCGGUUGGGGAGAAACAUGUGGGGUUCCAUGAAUGCAUGAGUGAAGGGGUUUUGGAAUGAGAAGGAAACAAAGAUGAUCAUGGAGAGAUAUGGGGAGAGAGGUGGAGGAAGCACUGAGAGUGAGAAGUGAUUGAUGAAAGAGAUUGGAAUUAUAGGGACCCACCCUCCCAAAUAGAACUCUUCGCCUAAAGCCACGGAAGCCAUAAUGGCGACAACCAGAGUCUGAACAGGUUGGUACACCGCCACGAACACCGGGCCACCCCUGUCAAUGCACCAUAUCUGCACAGCGAAUGCGAUCCCUGAUGCCACCACUCCCUGCAAUUUUCCCAUCAACAUUUCACUUUCAAAACCCCAAUUAAGCCCACAAAAAUUAAAUCGUUUUGUAUGACUACUUUUGCAUAAUAGCAUUAUAAUAUUCAUGAAGAGAAAAGCGAAAAAAAAAAAGGAGAAAUGACUUAUGAUCCACCAUCUUAAGAAGAUGGUGGUGGUGGUGGCCGGGUUCUAGACCCAAAGGCCACUGGCUCCUUUGCCGUAGGACGACAAACUUACCUUUUAACAGCUCCCAAAAGUAUAUGGCUCUGAUAAGCCAUUUUCUUUAUAGGACAGGAGGAGGAUGCGGAUAACAUGCGCAAAUGAAGAUGAAGAAGCUUCAUUGCUAUGUUCUAAGGGUUUUCUGUUGGUUUUUAAACCAAAGAUUGUGACGUGUCACCACGAUCUCUGAUUGUGCGUGAAUAUAUCAUUACUCAUGUCACUGCUUUGACUGGUAUCCAGGCUUUAGAAAGUGGCUGGAUUUAUGGGAUUGAUAUCCCUCCAGUUCCUGACUCUGCAGUUAAAUUCAGUCCGAAUUCCAAAACCCCAGCAAGCCACAACUGAACUCAAAGAGGGGUGCACUCGCCUUUUUCCAAAAGGUUAUGUUAUUAGCUCAACUGGUUCUCUUUUCUGGAGAAACUAUGAGUUGGGUGCCUUUUUAUCAUGUUGUGUGACACUGUGACCUGCGAGUCUACCUCGGGACUCGGUGAAUAAGAACGAAGUUUAUUGAGUCACUCACCGCAUAGAAGACGCUGAAGAGUUCUGCGCCAGAGUGAAUAAGCCAUGCUUGAGAGUUUCUCUCAAUAACAAGAGCUAUAAUCAAAAACUGAAUAAGGCCAAAGAAGCAGGUAUAAGAGGUAACAGAGAGGCGAGCCGGGUACUUCUUCAAAACUGGGGCCUGCAAGACGAGCCAAGCGGACCAAGACAAGCAAUGGCCAAUGAGAUAGACGCAGCCAAG